ACGGGACCCCGCACAAGCGGUGGAUCAUGUUGUUUAAUUCGAUGAUACGCGAAGAACCUUACCAGGUCUUGACAUCCCCCGCGAUGCUUUAGAGAUAAAGCGGAGGUAUUCGGGGAGACAGGUGGUGCAUGGUUGUCGUCAGCUCGUGUCGUGAGAUGUUGGGUUAAGUCCCGCAACGAGCGCAACCCUAUUGCUAGUUACCAUCAUUAAGUUGGGGACUCUAGCGAGACUGCCAGUGAUAAACUGGAGGAAGGUGGGGAUGACGUCAAAUCAUCAUGCCCCUUAUGACCUGGGCUACAAACGUGAUACAAUGGCUGGAACAAAGGGAUGCGAAGCAGUGAUGUGGAGCGAAACCCAUAAAAACAGUCUCAGUUCGGAUUGAAGUCUGCAACUCGACUUCAUGAAGUCGGAAUCGCUAGUAAUCGCGGAUCAGAACGCCGCGGUGAAUACGUUCUCGGGGUUU
rnacentral:rRNA from 1 species